AUGAACGCUGGCGGCGUGCUUAACACGUGCAAGUCGAACGAUUAAGACCCCUUCGGGGGUGUAUAGAGUGGCGAACGGGUGAGUAACACGUGGGCAAUCUGCCCCUCACUUCGGGAUAACUCAAAGAAAUUUGAGCUAAUACCGAAUACUCCGAACUGAUCGCAUGGUCGGCUCGGGAAAGCUCCGACGGUGAGGGAUGAGCCCGCGGCCCAUUAGCUUGUUGGUGAGGUAACGGCCCACCAAGGCGACGAUGGGUAGCCGCGCUGAGAGGCGGAUCGGCCACACUGGGACUGAGACACGGCCCAGACUCAUACGGGAGGCAGCAGUGGGGAAUUUUGCGCAAUGGGCGAAAGCCUGACGCAGCAACGCCGCGUGCGGGAUGAAGGCCCUCGGGUCGUAAACCGCUUUCAGCAGGGAUGAAAUUGACAGUACCUGCAGAAGAAGCCCCGGCUAAAUACGU
rnacentral:rRNA from 1 species